CACCUCAGCUUGGAGUCAUGUGCAACGCACAUGACCCAUUUAGUUGUGGAAUGGCUGUUAACCCUAACAGCGUUAGCCUCUUUCUUCUCAAACACACGUUCAACCUCUUUCUUCUUCUCAAACACACCCACACAGCCUCACGCCUCUCUCUCACAACCUCAACCUUCGUUUUCUGAGCAAACUCAGAUUGGCAAGAGAAUCCGGUACAGCCCUUCUCUCUCUCUCUCUCUCUCCUCGAACUCCUCAAACCCACGUCUCAACUUCUCUUCUUAAACACACAGAGCCCAGCCUCACGCCUCUCUCUCAUCUCCUCCACCUUUGUUUUCUGAGAAACUCAGGCCGGCGAGAUCUUGUGAUGCGAAAUCGACGGCGGCCACGUGUAGCAGCCGCCGAUCUCACCGGACAACUGGACAGCCCCUACCUCCUCACUGAUCUCACCGGACAGCAGCAGCCGCCGAUCUUGUGAUGCUUCACUUCCCUACCUCCUAACUCUGCUCCCACGCUUCUCUUCUCUAAUGGGCAUAAAUUACAUGGAACAUAUUUGCUUCUUCGCUAUAUUGCUCGUGUUGCUAGCCUUCCCAAUUUCUAUGGACAGAAUGCAUAUGAAUCUGGCCAGAUUGAUGAGUGGCUGGAAUAUGCUCCCGUCUUUUCAUUGGGUCCUGCAUUUGACAAAAUUUAUGUGAUGGUAGUAGUUGGAGCAGCCAAUGAGCCGCACUUUGAGAGUGAAGCAGAAAAAUUUGUAAAGUAUACCAUGACUUGCAGAUGAGGUGAAACUAAAAGCUUAAGUGCAGAAAAUUGAUUGGAAAUUGUAGCCUUGGCUUCCCUCAGUUAUUGUUAUUAUUAUUAUUAUUAUUAUUAUUUUGUAAAAAUUGGCUUUUUUUUCCUCUUUUGCGUAACCAGUGGCACUUAGUUGGUGAUUUGUGUACAAGUGCAUGGUAGCAUUGAUGUUUUUCAGCAAAUUUUCUUUGGUGAUGUAAUGAAUGGAAAGUGUUAUUGAUCAUGUA